CCAAUAGCGUAUAUUAAAGUUGUUGCAGUUAAAAAGCUCGUAGUUGAAUUUCGGGAUCAAUUUGCUGGUCGUGCCUUCGGUACGCACUGGUAUUAUUGGUUUCUCCUUUCUGAUGAAUCGCGAUGUCAUUAAUUUGGUGUCGUGGGGAAUCAGGACUGUUACUUUGAAAAAAUUAGAGUGUUUAAAGCAGGCUCACGCUUGAAUACAUUAGCAUGGAAUAAUGAAAUAGGACGUUUGAUUCUAUUUUGUUGGUUUCUAGGAUCGACGUAAUGAUUAAUAGGGAUAGUUGGGGGCAUUAGUAUUCAAUUGUCAGAGGUGAAAUUCUUGGAUUUAUUGAAGACUAACUACUGCGAAAGCAUUUGCCAAGGAUGUUUUCAUUAAUCAAGAACGAAAGUUAGGGGAUCGAAGACGAUCAGAUACCGUCGUAGUCUUAACCAUAAACUAUGCCGACUAGGGAUCGGAUGAUGUUAAUUUUUUAAUGACUCAUUCGGCGCCUUACG
rnacentral:rRNA from 2 species